UACAGAGGUCUCAAGCGUUGUUCGGAUUCAUUGGGCGUAAAGGGUGUGUAGGUGGCGCCGUAAGUCGGGUGUGAAAUUUCGGAGCUUAACUCCGAAACUGCAUUCGAUACUGCGGUGCUUGAGGACUGGAGAGGAGACUGGAAUUUACGGUGUAGCAGUGAAAUGCGUAGAGAUCAUGAGGAAGACCAGUGGCGAAGGCGGGUCUCUGGACAGUUCCUGACACUGAGGCACGAAGGCCAGGGGAGCAAACGGG
rnacentral:rRNA from 1 species